rnacentral:rRNA from 1 species
AGAAUCAACGCUGGCGGCGUGCCUAACACAUGCAAGUCGAACGAGAAAGUGGAGCAAUCCAUGAGUAAAGUGGCGACCGGGUGAGUAACACGUGACCAACCUACCUUCGAGUGGGGGAUAACUCCGGGAAACCGGGGCUAAUACCGCAUAACAUCCUUGGAAUGCAAAUUCCGUUGAUCAAAGGAGCAAUUCGCUUGAAGAGGGGGUCGCGGCUGAUUAGCUAGUUGGCGGGUAAUGGCCCACCAAGGCAAAGAUCGGUAGCCGGCCUGAGAGGGCGCACGGCCACACCUGGAACUGAAACACGGUCCAGACUCCUACGGAGGCAGCAGUGGGGAAUUUUGCGCAAUGGGGGAAACCCUGACGCAGCAACGCCGCGUGGAGGAUGGAAGUCCCUUGGGACGUAAACUCCUUUCGACCGGGACGACUUAUGACGGUACCGGUGGAACGAAGCCCCGGCUAACUUCGUGCCAGCAGCCGC